AACGAACGCUGGCGGCAUGCCUAACACAUGCAAGUCGAACGAGACCUUCGGGUCUAGUGGCGCACGGGUGCGUAACGCGUGGGAACCUGCCCUUAGGUUCGGAAUAACUCCCCGAAAGGGGUGCUAAUACCGGAUAAUGUCUUCGGACCAAAGAUUUAUCGCCUUUGGAUGGGCCCGCGUUGGAUUAGCUAGUUGGUAGGGUAAAAGCCUACCAAGGCGACGAUCCAUAGCUGGUCUGAGAGGAUGAUCAGCCACACUGGGACUGAGACACGGCCCAGACCCCCUCCGGAGGGCGGCGGUGGGGAUAUUGGAACAUGGGGCGAAGGCCGAUCCCGCCAUGGCCGCUGAGUUAUGAAGGGCCUAGGGUUGGUAAGGUUCUUUUACCGGGAAGAUUAUUACCGGACCCGGAGAAUAAGCUCCGGCUAACUCCGUG
rnacentral:rRNA from 1 species